rnacentral:rRNA from 1 species
UACGUAGGGGGCAAGCGUUGUCCGGAUUUAUUGGGGCGUAAAGAGCGUGUAGGCGGCCAUACAGGUCCGUUGUGAAAACUGGAGGCUUAACCUCCAGACGUCGAUGGAAACCGUAUGGCUAGAGUCCGGAAGAGGAGAGUGGAAUUCCUGGUGUAGCGGUGAAAUGCGCAGAUAUCAGGAGGAACACCAAUUGCGAAGGCAGCUCGCUGGGACGUUACUGACGCUGAGACGCGAAAGCGUGGGGAGCAAACAGG